ACUCAGAGCUUUUCGAACUGUGCUCCCAUGGGGACCACUGGGCCCCUCAGGGGAUGCUGCUAGGGGAAGGACUGGCCGUGGCUCCAGAAUGUGCUGCCUUUUUAAGUUUUGUUUGUUCACACUCCUAUAUAUGAUUGUUUGCACAGAGGGCACUCCUGUUUUUAAAACAUUUUGAAAACCCCUGGCUGAACAGUGCUCUGCCUCUAACUCCCUCCUCACACUCCAGAAUUACCCUUCCUCAUCUGUGCCUGUCUGUCCAACCCCUCCCCCACGUCUCUCUGCCUGCUGGGCUCUUAACUGUUGCUCGAAGACUGUGACAUCAGAAGUAACUCCCACUCCUAAUCAAGAGUCUCUCCAGCCUCACAGAUGCUGGCCUCUUGGCACCUGCCUAGCUCUUGGGCCUGACCUCCAGUCCUGCUGGCCUGCUCUUACUUCCCCCACCCUGGGUUUGGCCCCUGGAACCUUUCCCUUGGGACUGGGCCAUGGGUCCUCGGCCCAUCUGUCCAUCCUCCUCUCCAUGCAAGUGCUGUUUGGGCAGGAGUCACCAUGCAAGGGUGACAUCGACAACCACGUACCAAGCCACCGCAGCUGCUGCCACUCUGCCGCCUGUACAGAAGAAACUGAAUCUUUUUCAUAUUCUAAUAAAUCAAUGUGAGUUUU
rnacentral:sRNA from 1 species